CUUUCAGGUUGCACCCAGAACACUAGGGGGUGAUGACAAUCCCUAGAAAUAGAUUAAAAGACUUGAGGGUGUUAGCUGGGAUUUUUGUAAGUGAACCUAAGUGGAUUAGGAACCCAGCACUCUUCACAGCUCUUGAAUCCAGCAGUUCCUGCAGAAGCCACUUAAAAAUGUUUCCACUCAUUCACUGGGUGCUGAACACUUCAGAAAAUCAGAUUGUGAAGCUACAAUCAAAUUCACUUGACUUAUGCUAUUUCCAGCUCUUAUGGAGGUCAACAACAAUUGUAUUUCCUGCUUUAGCAUGAAAUUUUCCUUCCU